GACGAACGCUGGCGGCGUGCCUAAUACAUGCAAGUCGAACGCUGAAGGCGGAGCUUGCUUCUCUGGAUGAGUUGCGAACGGGUGAGUAACGCGUAGGUAACCUGCCUGGUAGCGGGGGAUAACUAUUGGAAACGAUAGCUAAUACCGCAUAAUAGUAGAUGUCGCAUGACAUUUGCUUAAAAGGUGCAAUUGCAUCACAACCAGAUGGACCUGCGUUGUAUUAGCUAGUUGGUGAGGUAACGGCUCACCAAGGCAACGAUACAUAGCCGACCUGAGAGGGGGAGCGGCCAAACUGGGAGUGAGACACGGCCCAGACUCCUACGGGAGGGAGCAGGAGGGAAUCUGCAGGAAUGGGCGGAAGGCUGAACGAGCGACGCCGCGUGAGGGAAGAAGGUUUUCGGGUCGUGAAGCUCAGUUGUAAGAGAAGAACGAGUGUGAGAGUGGAAAGUUCACACAGUGACGGUAUCUGACCAGAAAGGUACGGCUAACUACGUG
rnacentral:rRNA from 1 species